GCUCCUACGGGGGGCAGCAGUGGGGAAUAUUGCACAAUGGGGGAAACCCUGAUGCAGCAACGCCGCGUGAGUGAUGACGGCCUUCGGGUUGUAAAGCUCUGUCUUCAGGGACGAUAAUGACGGUACCUGAGGAGGAAGCCACGGCUAACUACGUGCCAGCAGCCGCGGUAAUACGUAGGGGGCGAGCGUUGUCCGGAAUGACUGGGCGUAAAGGGUGCGUAGGCGGCAUAAUAAGUUAGAAGUGAAAUACCCAGAGCUUAACUCGGGUGCUGCUUCUAAGACUGUUGAGCUUGAGUGCGGGAGAG
rnacentral:rRNA from 1 species